UGACGGUAUCCAACCAGAAAGCCACGGCUAACUACGUGCCAGCAGCCGCGGUAAUACGUAGGUGGCAAGCGUUAUCCGGAUUUAUUGGGCGUAAAGCGAGCGCAGGCGGUUUUUUAAGUCUGAUGUGAAAGCCCUCGGCUUAACCGAGGAAGUGCAUCGGAAACUGGGAAACUUGAGUGCAGAAGAGGACAGUGGAACUCCAUGUGUAGCGGUGAAAUGCGUAGAUAUAUGGAAGAACACCAGUGGCGAAGGCGGCUGUCUGGUCUGUAACUGACGCUGAGGCUCGAAAGCAUGGGUAGCGAACAGGAUUAGAUACCCUGGUAGUCCAUGCCGUAAACGAUGAAUGCUAGGUGUUGGAGGGUUUCCGCCCUUCAGUGCCGCAGCUAACGCAUUAAGCAUUCCGCCUGGGGAGUACGACCGCAAGGUUGAAACUCAAAGGAAUUGACGGGGGCCCGCACAAGCGGUGGAGCAUGUGGUUUAAUUCGAAGCAACGCGAAGAACCUUACCAGGUCUUGACAUCUUUUGAUCACCUGAGAGAUCAGGUUUCCCCUUCGGGGGCAAAAUGACAGGUGGUGCAUGGUUGUCGUCAGCUCGUGUCGUGAGAUGUUGGGUUAAGUCCCGCAACGAGCGCAACCCUUAUGACUAGUUGCCAGCAUUUAGUUGGGCACUCUAGUAAGACUGCCGGUGACAAACCGGAGGAAGGUGGGGAUGACGUCAAAUCAUCAUGCCCCUUAUGACCUGGGCUACACACGUGCUACAAUGGAUGGUACAACGAGUUGCGAGACCGCGAGGUCAAGCUAAUCUCUUAAAGCCAUUCUCAGUUCGGACUGUAGGCUGCAACUCGCCUACACGAAGUCGGAAUCGCUAGUAAUCGCGGAUCAGCACGCCGCGGUGAAUACGUUCCCGGGCCUUGUACACACCGCCCGUCACACCAUG
rnacentral:rRNA from 2 species